CCUAUGAUCUUUUGGGAGGAGUAAACGAAGAGAAAAGAUGAAGAAAAUUCGGCAUAUUUGGCCACACAUUUCAAGAAUUUCGAUAACUCCCACCGAACCAAUUAAACACCCCAAUUUUUAUUCUUCCAUUUUCCCCUCUUUCUUCUUCAUUUCUUCACAUCAAUUGUUUAAUUAAGCAUCCCACCAAGAUUUUUACUUCUUUAAUUUGGUGGAUUAAAGUUAACAAACACAACCCAGGUCAGUUCUUGAGCAAAGGGAUUGUUUAGGGUGCAAAGUGGGCAUGACAAUUGAUGGUUGUUGACCAGAAUUAACACCAUAUUUGUAACAGCUUCUAGGGUUAUUAAUUUGAGUUUAUAAAGAUUGUAUUUUUCUGGGAUUAAAGCCAGAAAAUUGAGAUUAGGGGUGUUUGGAUACUGGGUUUCUGUUCUAGAGCAAAGGGAGGAUGUCUGGAGUUCAAGAUGCACUAGAAAUCAAAUUCCGGUUAAUAGACGGAUCCGAUAUCGGUCCGAAAAGCUUUCCGGCAUCUGCAAGUGUUGCAAACUUAAAAGAAAGCAUCAUUUCUCAAUGGCCUAAAGAAAAGGCGAAUGCUCCUAGGAACAUAAAAGAUUUGAAAUUAAUUAGUGCCGGAAAAAUACUGGAAAAUAAUAAAACAGUAGGAGAAUGCAGGAAUGGAUUAUGCGAUGUCCCCGAUGGAAUUACAACCAUGCAUGUUGUUGUUAGUCAACCACCCCAAGAUAAAGGAAAUAAAGAGAUGAAUAACCUGAAACAAAACAAAUGUGGGUGUGUUAUAUUAUGAGAAGCGAUAACCAACCGCGGGUCAAAAUGUUUUUAGAUGAAGAUUGUUGGUGAUAAUACUGCAUUUGAUGAAUGGCUGGACAAUGAAGAUCUUGAAUUAAUAAUAAUAAAACUCAAAGAAAAUAAAGGAUAAAUACGGAGGGAAAUACCAUACAAUUUACAGGGGCAUAUUUAUACAAUUAGUUUGUUUUUUAGUUUUGUGUUUUGUUUAUUGUAUUUGUGAAUUUUACGCGGUUUGAGUCUCUGAUGGUCUUUGUUUUCUUGCGUUCGUGUCUUGAGUGGAUAUGAUUAUGCAUUGAGGAUUAUGGUUUUCGAUCAUGGUGUCUUGAGACGAGAUUUAUGGCCUAUACAUGUUCAUGUUGUUCAA